GCUGGGCAUGGUGGCGGGUACCUGUAAUCCCAGCUACUCGGGAAGCUGAGGCAGGAGAAUCACUUGAACCCAGGAGGUGGAGGUUGCAGUGAACCAGGAUUGUGCCACUUAACUCCAGCCUGGGUGACAGAGUGAGACUCUGUCUCAA
rnacentral:SRP_RNA from 1 species